rnacentral:rRNA from 1 species
ACACGUGAGCAACCUGCCCCAGACUUCGGGAUAAGCCUUGGAAACGAGGUCUAAUACUGGAUAUGAGGUCACAUCGCAUGGUGUGGUCUGGAAAGAUUUAUCGGUCUGGGAUGGGCUCGCGGCCUAUCAGCUUGUUGGUGGGGUAGUGGCCUACCAAGGCGACGACGGGUAGCCGGCCUGAGAGGGCGACCGGCCACACUGGGACUGAGACACGGCCCAGACUCCUACGGGAGGCAGCAGUGGGGAAUAUUGCACAAUGGGCGCAAGCCUGAUGCAGCGACGCCGCGUGAGGGAUGAAGGCCUUCGGGUUGUAAACCUCUUUCAGCAGGGAAGAAGCGCAAGUGACGGUACCUGCAGAAGAAGCGCCGGCUAACUACGUGCCAGCAGCCGCGGUAAUACGUAGGGCGCAAGCGUUGUCCGGAAUUAUUGGGCGUAAAGAGCUCGUAGGCGGUCUGUCGCGUCUGGUGUGAAAACUCAAGGCUCAACCUUGAGCUUGCAUCGGGUACGGGCAGACUAGAGUGCGGUAGGGGAGACUGGAAUUCCUGGUGUAGCGGUGGAAUGCGCAGAUAUCAGGAGGAACACCGAUGGCGAAGGCAGGUCUCUGGGCCGCAACUGACGCUGAGGAGCGAAAGCAUGGGGAGCGAACAGGAUUAGAUACCCUGGUAGUCCAUGCCGUAAACGUUGGGCACUAGGUGUGGGG